GCUGAGUGUGGUGGUGCAUGCCUAUAAUCCUAGCUACUCAGGAAGCUGAGGCAGGAGGAUCCCAAGUCCAAGGCUAGCCUGGGCAAUUUACUGAGAUCCUGUCUCAA
rnacentral:sRNA from 1 species